rnacentral:rRNA from 1 species
CGGGUGAGUAACACGUGGGCAACCUGCCCUCAGCUCUGGGAUAACUCCAAGAAAUUGGGGCUAAUACCGGAUAUGACUGCUGACCGCAUGGUCUGGUGGUGGAAAGAUUUAUCGGCUGGGGAUGGGCCCGCGGCCUAUCAGCUUGUUGGUGGGGUAGUGGCCUACCAAGGCGACGACGGGUAGCCGGCCUGAGAGGGUGACCGGCCACACUGGGACUGAGAUACGGGCCAG